rnacentral:rRNA from 1 species
UGGGGAAUUGUUCGCAAUGGGCGCAAGCCUGACGACGCAACGCCGCGUGGAGGACGAAGAUCUUCGGGUCGUAAACUCCUGUCGAGCGGAACGAACGCUUCGCGGAUGAAUACUCCGCGGAAUUGACGGUACCGCUAAAGGAAGCCCCGGCUAACUCCGUGCCAGCAGCCGCGGUAAUACGGGGGGGGCAAGCGUUGUUCGGAAUUACUGGGCGUAAAGGGCUCGUAGGUGGCCAACUAAGUCAGACGUGAAAUCCCCAGGCUCAACCUGGGAACUGCGUCUGAUACUGGAUGGCUUGAAUCCGGGAGAGGGAUGCAGAAUUCCAGGUGUAGCGGUGAAAUGCGUAGAUAUCUGGAGGAAUACCGGUGGCGAAGGCGGCAUCCUGGACCGGCAUUGACACUGAGGAGCGAAAGCCAGGGGAGCAAACGGG